UGGGGAAUUUUGGACAAUGGGCGAAAGCCUGAUCCAGCCAUGCCGCGUGAGUGAAGAAGGCCUUCGGGUUGUAAGGCUCUUUUAGUCGGAAAGAAAGAGUUGCAAUGAAUAAUUGUGAUUUAUGACGGUACCGACAGAAAAAGCACCGGCUAACUACGUGCCAGCAGCCGCGGUAAUACGUAGGGUGCGAGCGUUAAUCGGAAUUACUGGGCGUAAAGGGUGCGCAGGCGGUCUUGCAAGUCAGAUGUGAAAGCCCCGGGCUUAACCUGGGAAUUGCGUUUGAAACUACAAGGCUAGAGUGCAGCAGAGGGGAGUGGAAUUCCAUGUGUAGCAGUGAAAUGCGUAGAGACGUGGAAGAACACCGAUGGCGAAGGCAGCUCCCUGGGUUGACACUGACGCUCAUGCACGAAAGCGUGGGGAGCAAACA
rnacentral:rRNA from 1 species